CAAUGUCAAACGAACAUUGAUAAAUAAUGCUAAUAUUGACAUGUUCAGAAUUACAAACUAUUCGACAAAACACAAAUGCAGACUAAAAAAUAUAUCUGGGACAGAAGCAAAUUUCCCUAAUGUUCAAUCAGACCACAAAAUAGACAUGACAACGACGAGACAGCAAAGGAAAUAUUACAAAUAGCAAACAAUUUUUGGUACUCAGGAUGAGCAACAGCCACCACUCUGUGUCACUGGCUGUCCACGGAUAUUCACUGUCGGAGGCUUGGCAGAGUUCGAGGCUGGUUGGCUUGCCAUCCUAUUUUUGAUAGCACCAGUCAUAGCCAUGAAAGCCUGUUCGACAUUUGUAGCAUCUUUAGCACUGGUCUCCAAGAAUGGAAUACCGAUUUCAUCAGCAAAUGCCUUAGCCGUUUCAUAUGAGACAACUCUGUUUGCAGUAAGAUCAGCCUUAUUUCCAACAAGAAUUUUGUUGACGUUAUCACUAGCAUAACGAUCAAUUUCACUCAACCACUGUUUUACAUUAUUGAAGCUCUCUUGAUCUGUCACAUCAUACACAACAAUUAUGCCAUGGGCUCCACGAUAGUAGCUGCUAGUGAUGGUCCUGAAGCGUUCUUGUCCAGCUGUAUCCCAAAUCUGAAGUUUUAUAGUCUUCCCAUCUUGUUCUACGGUACGGAUUUUAAAAUCAACUCCAAUGGUGCUUAUGUAACUCUCCAGAUAUGUGUCGUCAGCAAACCUCAG
rnacentral:misc_RNA from 1 species